AAUGGUACGGUACUUCCAUUGUCAUGUGUAUGUUGGGGAUUAAACCCUGAUUGAGUUCAGCCCACAUACUUUGUUGAUUGGUUGUCAAUCAUGGCAAAAGUGCACGCUACUUUGAUAACCUUUUACAUGCGACACAGACGAAGCGCUAAAACGUGGGAUUCUGUGUCGUUUUAUGUUGUUCAUUGACAAACCUAUCUAGUAGGUCUAUAGAUUGAUAUAUUAAGUAGUAGUUUCCCUCCCUGAU
rfam:Bacillus phage phi29, complete genome.